rnacentral:rRNA from 1 species
AUUGAACGCUGGCGGUAUGCUUAACACAUGCAAGUCGAACGGUAACAGGUCUUCGGACGCUGACGAGUGGCGGACGGGUGAGUAACGCGUAGGAAUCUGCCUAUUAGUGGGGGACAACAUGUGGAAACGCAUGCUAAUACCGCAUACGCCCUACGGGGGAAAGGAGGGGACCUUCGGGCCUUUCGCUAAUAGAUGAGCCUGCGUUAGAUUAGCUAGUUGGUGGGGUAAAGGCCUACCAAGGCGACGAUCUAUAGCUGUUCUGAGAGGAAGAUCAGCCACACUGGGACUGAGACACGGCCCAGACUCCUACGGGAGGCAGCAGUGGGGAAUAUUGGACAAUGGGCGCAAGCCUGAUCCAGCAAUACCGCGUGUGUGAAGAAGGCCCUAGGGUUGUAAAGCACUUUCAAUGGGGAGGAAAAAGAGUAAGCUAAUACCUUGCUUAUUGACAUUACCCAUACAAGAAGCACCGGCUAACUCCGUGCCAGCCGCCGCGGUAAGAC